CGUAACCGGCGUAUUUUAUAAAAACCGGAUAGAGUCUAUUACGAGCACGGCUCGGAUUUAUGUUUUCUACCUGCAAUUUUUUACUUAAUGUUUUAUCUAGUUGACGUCUUUACUUGACGUUUUAUCUACGAUUUUUACUUGACGCUUUAUCUCUAUCUCUGUAAUAUAAAGUAUAGUAGCAAGUCUUUACCGGCACCGUUUCCAGGUGUGCAGGCAUUAGACCUUGCAAUGGGAACAACAUACUACGGUUUAUUCCUUUUGUUCGUUGCUGCAGCGUUUCUCAGCCCAGCUGCAGCGAUAGCGGAAAUCAAGACGUUGAGAUAACGGAAGAUCUUUUCAACAAACCACUCAAUUUUUCGGACGUAAAUGCUGUUGCUAAAACCGGACCUAAACUCUGGCCGAAUCCUGCCGCGAUCCCUUACUACAUAAGCCCAUAUUACCUUAAUCAAUCGGAGCAGCAAACUCUUCGCACAAUGGAGAGACUGACGAAAGGUUGCAUCAUGUUAAAACCCAGAACAUAUGAAACGGAUUACCUGUAUAUCCAAGGCACCAGCUCCGACAAAUGCACUGCGGACCUUGGACGCAUCGGCGGCUUACAAGAUAUCUACCUGGGAAGUCCAUCAUAUCUGUCGGCGUUUUCGUACUCAGCCCCUUGAUUCAAUCAAGGUGAAAUGGAAUCAUGACAGCUCUCAUGCGCUCACUGGGCUUUGACUACGAACACAAGCGCCCCGAUCGCGACCAGUACAUUGAAGUGCGCAAUGACAGCAUUGACAGCGACUAUUAUUCGAUUUAUCGGAUCAAUCCAUCCAUGUACACGUUUGGAACCAAGUACGACUACCAUUCCAUUCUGCAUUACUUCACGUGGGCUUACUCGCUAAGCCGAAAUCCUGCCAUGGUGUCGAAAACUCCAAUCGUAUGGGACGGAGGAAAACCCUUAGUCCAACCGAUGUCGCCAAAAUUAUGAUUGCCUAUAACUGUCCGCUAAACGUUACCCGGGGCAGUAAACAACGCGACGCCGACGAGGAUUUUCCCAAAUUCUCCCUUGAGAAAAUGACGGAUGAGGAGUGUGGUGCACAGUUCAAUCGCUAUUGCAAGUCCGAUGUCACAACAACUGAUAACUGCACUUCGCGAACUGACUUCCGGAUUGUUUGCCGGUCAAAUGCAUCGCUCACCAUAUUGGCGCGAAUGGCGGUGGAUAUGGCAGAACCACCAUUGCGAGUUGUUUCCAUGGACGUGGAAGAGCAGCUUAUCGCCAAGUAUUCUUUCGCCCCAAUACAACGCCAAGUCGUCAAGCUACAACUACGCAACUGCACAACAGAGCGCGUGACCUCCAGGUUGAUCGAUCUUAAUUUCACGAGCAUGUUGGACUUUCAACUGUACAACGCUCGGGGUCUGGUCAUUGAAAAGAAAGAUUUCGCCGUCUCGAAGCGGCUGCUUAUGGUUGUUUUUUACAACACUACAAUCAAAACCAUGCAGCACGGCACCUUUACCGAUUUGCCAGACCUGCAAAUAUUGUCACUGGAAGCGCUGUUUGAAGACCAGAAAUACUAGAAUUUCGACCAUCCGUUCCGAAGCUUCUUGCGCAGUCUUCACUGCCGCUGCGAGUUUGCUUGGUAUCGUUCGUGGUUUCGAGCCAGUAAAAGGCUGCGAAUUCGGACUGAAGUCGGCGAUGUUUAUUCGUUCGAUGGACGUUCUACUGGAGAACUUCUCGAAAACUCUGGAUUUGACAAGGAGGAUCUUUAUCAUCCAGUGAACUGUCGCGCCGAUCCGUUUCCCUUCGGCACGGAGUGGAUUAAUUACUAUACACAGAUCGAUUACUCAAUCUACGAACCACCCUGCGAUGCGUCAGUGAUGCAGGGGAGCAACGCAGUCACCAAGAUAAAAAUUACCACGGUUACGAAAUCGCCACAAACUGCAAAAACCACAACAUCCGUCAUCGUUUCUUCGACCAGUUAACCCGUUCCCGCGGAUGCCGUAGACAGCUGUACUUCUGCAAGUGAACCAAUUCCCACGGAAAACAAAACGCCAGUAACCUCUUAUUCCACUAGCGAAGCAAUUCCAGAAGAAACCGUGGCACAAGUAAAUUCCGCUUCCUCAAGCGGCUGACAAUAAAUUUUAUUUCUCUCGUUGUUUUAAUUCAUGGGAACAGCUGAAUAUUUAGUUCACUUAGCUGCAUAGUUAAUUUAAUAGCUUUUGUGUAAUUUUGUGUCCAUUUCACUGGCAGACUGAGAUGGACGGACUUCGACAGAAAUGUGGCAAUUUACUUUUGGCAAGCUCGUGUACGACUGAUCUACCUUUCUGCCCACCUUCGAGAGAAAGGUGGAUGCGAUUUUAUUGAACCAUGAACAUCCACUGGUCCACUUUCCUGUCGGCUACAUGGGCAGGCCCGUCGCGAGACCCCCGUUAAUUUUUCAAAGAGCUACUCCUCCCGAGCGCCCAUUUUUUCUGAACAUAUAAUUAGACUCGCUGUAAAAUUAUGAACAAAAUGGUUGAGGCCGAUUUUCAAAAUUUGUUUCCCCCAAAAACUUGACGUUCACGGGCCGCCGAUGCGACAACUUCCUUUUCGGGUGUUUCCCCUUACAUGUUCGGGUGCCCCUUCCCCCCCCUCCCCAUGUAACAUGGGUAUGCGCCGAUUCGGUAUAAUAAACCAACGCUACGCCACACU